rnacentral:rRNA from 1 species
AACGAACGCUGGCGGCAGGCCUAACACAUGCAAGUCGAACGAUAACGGCACUUCGGUGCUUAUUAAAGUGGCGCACGGGUGAGUAACGCGUGGGAAUAUACCCAGUAGUAUGGAACAACAGUUGGAAACGACUGCUAAUACCAUAUACGCCCUCCGGGGGAAAGAUUUAUCGCUAUUGGAUUAGCCCGCGUGACAUUAGGUAGUUGGUGAGGUAACGGCUCACCAAGCCGACGAUGUCUAGCUGGUUUGAGAGGAUGAUCAGCCACACUGGAACUGAGACACGGUCCAGA